UACGGGGGAUGCGAGCGUUGUCCGGAAUCAUUGGGCGUAAAGAGUUCGUAGGUGGUUUGUUAAGUUUGGUGUCAAAGGCAGAGGCUCAACUUCUGUAUGGCAUCGGAUACUGGCAGACUUGAGUGCGGUAGAGGUAAAGGGAAUUCCUGGUGUAGCGGUGAAAUGCAUAGAUAUCAGGAGGAACAUCGGUGGCGUAAGCGCUUUACUGGGCCGUAAUUGACACUGAGGAACGAAAGCCGGGGUAGCAAAU
rnacentral:rRNA from 1 species